rnacentral:rRNA from 1 species
UACAGAGGGUGCAAGCGUUAAUCGGAAUUACUGGGCGUAAAGCGUGCGUAGGCGGCUUGUUAAGUCUUCUGUGAAAUCUACGGGCUCAGCCUGUAACGUGCAGAGGAAACUGGCGAGCUUGAGUGUCGGAGAGGAUAGGGGAAUACCCGGUGUAGAGGUGAAAUUCGUAGAGAUCGGGUGGAACACCAGUGGCGAAGGCGCCUAUCUGGCUGACAACUGACGCUGAGACUCGAAAGCAUGGGGAGCAAACAGG